UUACGCUGUUAUCCCUAAGGUAAUUUAGUCUUAUAAUCACUAAAAAUGGAUCAAAAAUUUAUAAAUAAAUAUAAAAAAAUAAAAAGAGUUAUACUAAUCUCUCCAUCACCCCAAUAAAAUUCAAAUAAUAUUAAAAUCAUUAUCCCACAAAAAAUAUAAAAUUAAAUUAAACUCUAUAGGGUCUUCUCGUCCCAAAAAAAUAUUUAGGCAUUUUAACCUAAAAUUUAAAUUCAAUAAAAUAAAAAUUUAAGAAAGUAAAUACCUCGUCAAACCAUUCAUUCCAGCAUUCAAUUAAAAAACUAAUGAUUAUGCUACCUUUGCACAGUCAAAAUACUGCGGCCAUUUAAAAAUCAGUGGGCAGGCAAUACUUCAAAUAAAUCACAAGAAGAGAUGUUUUUGUUAAACAGGAG
rnacentral:rRNA from 1 species